GAAGACGGCCUUCCAGCUCACCAACCGCAUCGUGUACGCGCCGCUCACACGCUGUAGGUUUGGGCCACAGGGGUUCGCAGCAAGGGGAAUGGUCAUCACUGGCACGUGAUGGCGAAGGUGUCAGCCGAGUGUGCCUAGGGCUGCAGCGUGGGUGAAGAUGCAGAGAUUGCAGACGCUUCUCUGAGUACCAUGUCCUGACCUCCCUUCUCCUCGCCAUCGCCACCGCUGGAUGUUGAACAGGCCGCGCUGUCGGCAACCUGCAGCCGCCUCAGGCCGCAGAGUACUACAGCCAGCGCACCGUGCCCGGCACGCUUCUCAUCACGGAGGCGACCAACAUCACCGCUGAGGGCCUAGGGUGAGAGCGGCUUAGCUGGGGCCGCGCGUUGGCAUACCGUGGUGUCGUUGCUGUCAUUGAUUGCGAAGCCUACAUGCAAUGACCGGGGAGCCUACAGCUUAAGAGCGGCUUUUGUUGGGAGGGUGAUGCGCCCACGGCAUACAGCCAUCGAUGCCGGCACACGCCGUUGCUGUGCGGAUGGCAGCUCAGGACCAGGCAACCCAAAACCUCAAACGCGGCCCCCUUAUGCAUGUGUGCUACCCCCCCUGCUUACCAAUGCAGCUACCUGAACACCCCCGGCCUGUACACGCCUGAGCAGCUGGAGUCUUGGAAGCCUGUGACCAAGGCGGUGCACGACAAGGGCGGCGUGUUCUUCUGCCAGCUGUGGCACACCGGCCGCGUCUCGCACAGCGGUAAGCGACCAGCAGCACAUUGUAACAAUGACGGCCAAGGGCUAGGGUGGUUGUGCUUGAUUUGGGCGUGAUAUUAGUGGUGGGUGGGUGGUGUGCUGUGGCGUCUGUUGAUUGGUUGCUUCGUGUUUGCUCGUGCGACUGGUACGUGCCUCCCACUCCUGGCUGCCCGUCCUGACCCCUGGUGCUUCCUCUCCUUGCGUGGGCCCUCAGACCUGCAGCCCGGCAACCAGCUGCCCAUCUCCUCGUCCUCCACCACCCGCAUUGCGGCUGAGGGCUACCAGGUGUACACGCCCAGCGGCCCCAAGCCCCACGAGCACCCCCGCGCAGGUGAGGUUCACUGCAAGCGCAUAUUACGCUCGCAGUUAGGGUACCUUGGACUCGCUCCAAUGGCAGGCGAAGAGACAAAGUAAAACAAUGCUGGGUCCCGAGCCUGAC
rnacentral:lncRNA from 1 species